rnacentral:rRNA from 1 species
ACGCGUGGGAACGUACCCAGAUCUAAGGAAUAGCCACUGGAAACGGUGAGUAAUACCUUAUACGCCCUUCGGGGGAAAGAUUUAUCGGAUUUGGAUCGGCCCGCGUUAGAUUAGAUAGUUGGUGGGGUAACGGCCUACCAAGUCUACGAUCUAUAGCUGGUUUUAGAGGAUGAUCAGCAACACUGGGACUGAGACACGGCCCAGACUCCUACGGGAGGCAGCAGUGGGGAAUCUUGGACAAUGGGCGCAAGCCUGAUCCAGCCAUGCCGCGUGAGUGAUGAAGGCCUUAGGGUCGUAAAGCUCUUUCGCCUGUGAAGAUAAUGACGGUAGCAGGUAAAGAAACCCCGGCUAACUCCGUGCCAGCAGCCGCGGUAAUACGGAGGGGGUUAGCGUUGUUCGGAAUUACUGGGCGUAAAGCGCACGUAGGCGGACUGGAAAGUAUGGGGUGAAAUCCCAGGGCUCAACCCUGGAACUGCCUCAUAAACUAUCAGUCUAGAGUUCGAGAGAGGUGAGUGGAAUUCCGAGUGUAGAGGUGAAAUUCGUAGAUAUUCGGAGGAACACCAGUGGCGAAGGCGGCUCACUGGCUCGAUACUGACGCUGAGGUGCGAAAGUGUGGGGAGCAAACAGGAUUAGAUACCCUGGUAGUC